AGGCUUGUUCGGGUUGUGUCUCGAUCGUCCGGUCGCUCCUCCUUUCGGAGGUGGCGUCGGGUGGUCGGACAUUAUCUCGGACAGUGUUGGGACGACGCAUGAGUAGCAAUCUGGAUAGGUUCCCUUUGCAGGCUCCGUGCUUCUCGCAUCGAACUGCUUUGUCCUAUCCGUUUCAUUUGAUCGCUCGCCUCGUUGCCCCGAGGGUCGGUUGCGAGUGAUGGGUGGGUUCCUGUGCUCGAUACCGUAUUGCGGUACUCGGAUUCAAUGCUGUCCACGUCUUGGUUCCCUUGUUCCUCCUCCGCCUCAUGGGCGUUGGUGGAUAUCGUGCGGGCAUCGACGCUUUCCGUCCGGACGGUCGUCCACCUCUGGGCGUUCCGUCUUAUGUCGGCGCGUCUAUGCACGCUCGCGUGCUCUUUGGUUACGGAGAUAUUUAAGGUUGUCGCGCGGUCCUCCUUUGGCCGUYGCGAUCUCGACGUGUCGAAGCUCCUUUGCUUCCGCUCGGGCGACCCUCGG
rnacentral:misc_RNA from 1 species